rnacentral:rRNA from 1 species
UACGUAGGGUGCGAGCGUUAAUCGGAAUUACUGGGCGUAAAGCGUGCGUAGCCGGUUACAUAAGUCGGGUGUGAAAGCCCCGGGCUCAACCUGGGAAUUGCAUUCGAGACUGCGUAGCUAGGGUGCGGAAGAGGGAAGCGGAAUUUCCGGUGUAGCGGUGAAAUGCGUAGAUAUCGGAAGGAACACCAGUGGCGAAAGCGGCUUCCUGGUCCAGCACCGACGUUCAGGCACGAAAGCGUGGGGAGCAAACAGG